UACGUAGGGGGCAAGCGUUGUCCGGAAUCAUUGGGCGUAAAGCGCGUGUAGGCGGUCCGGUAAGUCCGCUGUGAAAGUCGGGGGCUUAACCCUCGGAUGCCGGUGGAUACUGUCGGGCUUGAGUACGGAAGAGGCGAGUGGAAUUCCGGGUGUAGCGGUGGAAUGCGUAGAGAUCCGGAAGAACACCAGUGGCGAAGGCGGCCCGCUGGGCAGUGGCUGACGCUGAGGUGCGAAAGCGUGGGGAGCAAACAGG
rnacentral:rRNA from 1 species